rnacentral:rRNA from 1 species
CGCAAGCCUGACGGAGCAACGCCGCGUGAGGGAUGGAGGCCUUUGGGCUGUAAACCUCUUUUCUCAAGGAAGAAGAUCUGACGGUACUUGAGGAAUAAGCCACGGCUAAUUCCGUGCCAGCAGCCGCGGUAAUACGGGAGUGGCAAGCGUUAUCCGGAAUUAUUGGGCGUAAAGCGUCCGCAGGCGGCCGUUUAAGUCUGUUGUUAAAUCGUGGAGCUCAACUCCAUCACGGCAAUGGAAACUGUUCGGCUUGAGUAUGGUAGGGGCAGAGGGAAUUUCCGGUGUAGCGGUGAAAUGCGUAGAUAUCGGGAAGAACACCAGUGGCAAAAGCGCUCUGCUGGGCCAUUACUGACGCUCAUGGACGAAAGCCAGGGGAGCGAAAGGGAUUAGAUACCCCUGUAGUCCUGGCCGUAAACGAUGAACACUAGAUGUUGGGGGAAUCGACCCCCUCGGUGUCGUAGCUAACGCGUUAAGUGUUCCGCCUGGGGAGUACGCACGCAAGUGUGAAACUCAAAGGAAUUGACGGGGGCCCGCACAAGCGGUGGAGUAUGUGGUUUAAUUCGAUGCAACGCGAAGAACCUUACCAAGGCUUGACAUCCUGCGAAUCUCCAAGAAAUUGGAGAGUGCCUUUUGGAACGCAGUGACAGGUGGUGCAUGGCUGUCGUCAGCUCGUGUCGUGAGAUGUUGGGUUAAGUCCCGCAACGAGCGCAACCCACGUUUUUAGUUGCCAGCAUUCAGUUGGGCACUCUAGAAAGACUGCCGGUGACAAACCGGAGGAAGGUGUGGACGACGUCAAGUCAUCAUGCCCCUUACGCCUUGGGCUACACACGUACUACAAUGCUGCGGACAAAGAGUAGCGAUCUUGCGAAAGUUAGCUAAUCUCGUAAACCGUGGCUCAGUUCAGAUCGUAGGCUGCAACUCGCCUACGUGAAGGAGGAAUCGCUAGUAAUCGCAGGUCAGCAUACUGCGGUGAAUACGUUCCCGGGCCUUGUACACACCGCCCGUCACACCAUGGAAGUUGGCCAUGCCCGAAGUCGUUACUCUAACCUUUUGGAAGAGGGCGCCGAAGGCAGGGCUAAUGACUGGGGUGAAGUCGUAACAAGGUAGCCGUAGCGGAAGCUGCGGCUGGAUCACCUCCUAA